UGCAAUUGGAUAAAUGGUAAAGAAUACAGUGUGUUUGAACUGAUGAUCAUUUGAACUGAUGGAAACUAAAAGCAAAUUUUGUACUUAAUUCAGUUUAUAUUCUACAGAUUACCCCCAAAGAAAAGUUCAUGAAUUUUGAAGAUCCAUGAUAAGUCACGUUCAGUUUUAAGGAUAUUUACUCAAUUAAUCAUUUCCAUCAAUAAUCUCAAGUGGGAAUGAUAUCCAAGGAAUUGUGACAUAUAGUUGAAAUCUACAUUUUUCAAAUACAGUGGAUUUAGAAAUAUAAACACACAUAAAAAUAAAACAAUCCAGUGGUUAAAUGAAAUACUUCCUGCUAGUUUUUUUUUUGUGUGUGUGUGCGCUUUCCCAGGUAAUGUUUAAAGUGAUUCUGGAAAGUAGUCACAAAAUUACGUUCACUUAAUUUGCUGACCUGGAGACAGAGAACAAGAAGGUAAGAAACAAGAGGCAAGAGAAAGAAAGAAAAUGACAAAAGCAUAGUAAUUAUACUCUUCUAAGCAGUUUUGAAAAGGGUUAAUGUUAUUUGAUCUUGAUAUAAUUCCAUCCUUCUCUCCUUAAACAGAUAUCCAACAAAGGUCUGUGGACCGGAAUGCAAAGUUUUAUAUCUUAAAAGCAAUUUAUCUCACUAGUCCUUAAAAUUCUGAAGUCAUUGAGAAAUAUAAACUGAAAGGCUUUUUGAGCAGCAUUUUUCCUAUAUGGAAAUAAAAGGGAUGAAAGCAAAAUACAAACUUUGACAUUUGACUGCAUUUAUAAUCUGGACACAUUUGGUAAACAUUUUGAUAAUGUGGAGUUUAAGUUUAAACAAAUGACAAAGAUAUGUCCAAAACUUGGGUUUCUUAACUUAAACUUUACAUCUGAUCUGUUAUAUCCCUAAACUUUUACAUCAUGUUGCCAAAAAAACAAUAUUUAAUUAACUCAAGAAUCAAUAGUUCCAAUGAGCAGAGUUCUGUAGUUUAAUCACAGAACAAGGAAAAGAGAAUUAAACUAAAUUGAUAGUUGGGGUGUGCAUUUUAUUUGUUCAAACUCUUUUCUUUUCUUUUUUUUUGUGCUCAACAAAUUUUGAAGGAUAUUCUACCAGCUCUUUUUAUUUUUCCAAUGGGAACUUAACUAAGGCAAACAAUUCCCAUCAAUUUUUUUCAGUUCCACCUGUAGUAUUAAAAUACAUUCUGUGAGCAUGUGGUAUCAGAUCUAUUGUAGGUGCAGGAAUUUAGAAAAACAGGGUCAUUGCUGUCUAAAAGCCCUAUUCAGUGGGAAAUACACACACAGAAUACAUAACGGAUUUAAGCUGUCUGUCACAAAUGCCAUAGCAAAGGUAUCUGGAAAGCACUAUGAAAAUAUCUGGGACAGAAAGAUAAUGAUCACUUUAGGGAAUGGUCAGACUUCUCAGGAGAUAGCAGUUAGGCUGGUUUUCAACAGGGGCUGGCAGGGCCGGACAAGUAACUAUGGGGGAUUAAGAAAGACUCAAAAGUUGCAACAAGAAGUAAUAAUUGAAAGCAGGGCCCAUUCUCAGAACAAAAAGUAAAUUGGAUUGGGCUCUUUCACCUUCUACCAUUCAGUUUUUCCCAUCCUUUUAAAUGUCAUAAUCCGGCAGCUGGGAAGCAGCCAUCCCCCGUUUUGCUGCACCAGUGUCUGCACUCAUGCUUCUGAGCGAGGGAUUGUCUAGGGCUUGCAUGAAACCAAAGCUCUUGGCAGUAGGCCCACUUUUUAGGAUGACAAUAAGAACCUGUCCUUUUUGCUCUCAGUUGCUCUGUUCAGAGUUUGGGCACUAGAUUGUUCACCUCUGAAGAACAGCUUGAAGAUGUGGCUCAUACGCUCUGGGGGGUGUAGCAAAUGAUCUCACAACUCAUAUGGUCUUAUAAACCUGUUCUGCAGGCUUCCACAUCUCAGCUGUCAGAAUCAAUGCCUUUGAAAACAUAAAUCAGUUCUAUAAUGUUUAUUUCUUUUAAAAUCUGCCAAGAAUAGUGGUAUCUUUCUCCAUUCUAGGGGAGAAACAGUGCAAUGAAGAUAUUCAUCACACAGCUUGAAUGAAAGAUGACUGGAAAAGAAGUAAACUAUACAUUUGGUCAUUUGUGAAGACUGUACAAAAGGAAAGAAGAGCACAGGCAACGUUAAACAAAAAAACCCAACAAUUUCACAAGUUCUCUUUCACUCUGUGACUGUUUUCAAAACAUUCCUUUCAGUCAAAUAAAAUGACAAGCAUAAUUUUAAA